GAUGAACGCUGGCGGCGUGCCUAAUACAUGCAAGUCGAGCGAACAGACGAGGAGCUUGCUCCUCUGACGUUAGCGGCGGACGGGUGAGUAACACGUGGAUAACCUACCUAUAAGACUGGGAUAACUUCGGGAAACCGGAGCUAAUACCGGAUAAUAUAUUGAACCGCAUGGUUCAAUAGUGAAAGACGGUUUUGCUGUCACUUAUAGAUGGAUCCGCGCCGCAUUAGCUAGUUGGUAAGGUAACGGCUUACCAAGGCGACGAUGCGUAGCCGACCUGAGAGGGUGAUCGGCCACACUGGAACUGAGACACGGUCCAGACUCCUACGGGAGGCAGCAGUAGGGAAUCUUCCGCAAUGGGCGAAAGCCUGACGGAACAACGCCGCGUGAGUGAUGAAGGUCUUCGGAUCGUAAAACUCUGUUAUUAGGGAAGAACAAAUGUGUAAGUAACUAUGCACGUCUUGACGGUACCUAAUCAGAAAGCCACGGCUAACAACGUG
rnacentral:rRNA from 1 species